GGUAGCCAGUGCAAAUUGAUAAACAUAUAUACAUAAUAAAUAUACACAGUACACACAUAUAUUAUGUAAAAAAAAAGAAAAGAAAAAAAAAAGAAAAAAACAGCUGAGCAAGGUCUUCAGCAUUAGCUCACACUGCCAGACAGGUGUGUGGACAGACUGGAGAUAAACUCCUCCAGGACACCACUGUUGUAAGUGAUCAACCUAGCAGUAAUCCUGCGUCUCUUCUCAAAGGUGUCAAAAUAUAAAUACAUUUUAAUUUGUAUUGAUAUAUGCAGUAUUUCACUGAUAUUCAUUAAUUUUUUCUCCCUUUUUUUGUCAGAUGCAGAUAAAGAGUCACCAGGAACAGGUCACUGCAUCUUUUGUCAUGUAGAUGCUGGAACAAAAAGCAGCCAGGCCACAGCAUCUAAAAUGGAGACUUCUAUUAAAGUGGGACGGUGGAAGGAGCAGAAGAACCAAAAGAUCAAAGAUCAGGCAGAGCUCUACUGAUGCCCCUUAGGGGAUUGAUUUAUCUAUAAUUAUCUAUAAUAUCUACUUAAUGUUCUGAUGUAGUUAUAAUUGGUCAUUGUUUUGUUUUAUAAAUCUAUUUAAUACAUUCUAGUGUUCAAUAGUUUGGGGUCAGAAAGUUUUUUUUUUUUUUUUUUUUCAAGAUAUUACUUGUAUUCAGCAAGGGCGCAUUAAACUGAUAAAAAGCAACAGUAAAAACUUUUACAUUGUUGGACAAAAAUCCUGUUUAAAAAAAUGCUGCUCUUUUAAAUGCUCUAUUCAAAGUAACCUUAAAAAAUAUAUAUUACUGUUUGCAAAAAUGAAGCAGCACAACUGUCUUUGAGAUGAUAAAAAAAUGCACCAAAACAGAAUAUUUUAAUCAUUUCUUUUGGAUUGUAUGACACAGAAGACCGGAGUAAUGGCUGCUGAAAAUUAAACAUCAUAGUAAAACAGUUUUUUUUUUUAUUAAAACAGCUAUUUAAAAUUGUAAUAUUUCAUAAUGUUACUGCUUUAACUGUACAUUUACAAAAACAUUUACAAAUCUUACCUAUCCUAAACUUUUGAACAGUGUUUUUCUUCAUUUUUUACAUGGCCAUGAAUAAAUCAAAGUAUUUGAAAUUUAUGAGACUUAAU
ensembl:lncRNA